rnacentral:rRNA from 1 species
AUUGAACGCUGGCGGCAUGCUUUACACAUGCAAGUCGAACGGCAGCGCGGGCUUCGGCCUGGCGGCGAGUGGCGAACGGGUGAGUAAUGCAUCGGAACGUGCCCAGUAGUGGGGGAUAGCCCGGCGAAAGCCGGAUUAAUACCGCAUCCGACCUGAGGGUGAAAGCGGGGGACCGAAAGGCCUCGCGCUAUUGGAGCGGCCGAUGUCGGAUUAGCUAGUUGGUGGGGUAAAGGCUUACCAAGGCGACGAUCCGUAGCUGGUCUGAGAGGACGACCAGCCACACUGGAACUGAGACACGGCCCAGACUCCUACGGGAGGCAGCAGUGGGGAAUUUUGGACAAUGGGGGCAACCCUGAUCCAGCCAUGCCGCGUGCGGGAAGAAGGCCUUCGGGUUGUAAACCGCUUUUGUUCGGGAAGAAAACCUCUGGGCUAAUACCCCGGGGGGAUGACGGUACCGGAAGAAUAAGCACCGGCUAACUACGUG